rnacentral:rRNA from 1 species
AGAGUUUGAUCCUGGCUCAGGACGAACGCUGGCGGCGUGCUUAACACAUGCAAGUCGAACGGAAAGGCCCGCCACCUUGGUGGUGGGUACUCGAGUGGCGAACGGGUGAGUAACACGUGGGUGAUCUGCCCCGCACUGUGGGAUAAGCCUGGGAAACUGGGUCUAAUACCACAUACGACCACACUGUAGACAGUGUGGUGGAAAGCUUUUGCGGUGUGGGAUGAGCCCGCGGCCUAUCAGCUUGUUGGUGGGGUAAUGGCCUACCAAGGCGGCGACGGGUAGCCGGCCUGAGAGGGUGGACGGCCACAUUGGGACUGAGACACGGCCCAGACUCCUACGGGAGGCAGCAGUGGGGAAUAUUGCACAAUGGGCGCAAGCCUGAUGCAGCGACGCCGCGUGGGGGAUGACGGCCUUCGGGUUGUAAACUCCUUUCGUAACUACGUGCCAGCAGCCGCGGUAAUACGUAGGGCGCGAGCGUUGUCCGGAAUUAUUGGGCGUAAAGAGCUUGUAGGCGGUUUGUCGCGUCUGCUGUGAAAGGCCGGGGCUUAACUCCGUGUAUUGCAGUGGGUACGGGCAGACUAGAGUGCAGUAGGGGAGACUGGAAUUCCUGGUGUAGCGGUGGAAUGCGCAGAUAUCAGGAGGAACACCGAUGGCGAAGGCAGGUCUCUGGGCUGUAACUGACGCUGAGAAGCGAAAGCAUGGGGAGCGAACAGGAUUAGAUACCCUGGUAGUCCAUGCCGUAAACGUUGGGCACUAGGUGUGGGGGACAUUCCACGUUUUCCGCGCCGUAGCUAACGCAUUAAGUGCCCCGCCUGGGGAGUACGGCCGCAAGGCUAAAACUCAAAGAAAUUGACGGGGGCCCGCACAAGCGGCGGAGCAUGCGGAUUAAUUCGAUGCAACGCGAAGAACCUUACCAAGGCUUGACAUAUACUGGACCGCAUCAGAGAUGGUGUUUCCCUUCGGGGCUGGUAUACAGGUGGUGCAUGGUUGUCGUCAGCUCGUGUCGUGAGAUGUUGGGUUAAGUCCCGCAACGAGCGCAACCCUCGUUCUAUGUUGCCAGCACGUUAUGGUGGGGACUCAUAGGAGACUGCCGGGGUCAACUCGGAGGAAGGUGGGGAUGACGUCAAAUCAUCAUGCCCCUUAUGUCUUGGGCUUCACGCAUGCUACAAUGGCCGGUACAGGGUUGGUACAGAGGGUUGCGAUACUGUGAGGUGGAGCGAAUCCCUUAAAGCCAGUCUCAGUUCGGAUUGGGGUCUGCAACUCGACCCCAUGAAGGUGGAGUCGCUAGUAAUCGCAGAUCAGCAACGCUGCGGUGAAUACGUUCUCGGGCCUUGUACACACCGCCCGUCACGUCACGAAAGUUGGUAACACCCGAAGCCCAUGGCCUAACC